AUUCUCUAUAUAAUAUUCUAAAACGUAAGUAAUAAUAUGAAUAGAGAGUAUAAAAAGGAGUAAAUAUUGGCUAAUUGGAACCUUCCCUUGUAAAAUUCUUUCCCUUCCCAUUUAAGCUCCUUUUGGGUCUCUAUAUAUAUUUAGGUACAAGUUUUCAAUCCCAUAAAUCAUACAACAUAAUCUCUUUCUAAACUUGAGUCUAAUUGAGUUUCAACAAAACCUAUUAAUAUUAUAUAUCUACAACCACUCCAUUCAAUAUAAGAAAAAUGAGCAACACACAAAAUCAACAACAACAAAAUAUGGAUAACAUCCCUCCUGCUGGAUACCCAACUCUAACACCACCAGAGGGAAAGAUGAAGAAAAAGGGUUGGUUUCGCACCAAGAAGAGAGGAGAAAAAGGUUUCAUUGAAGGAUGUUUGGCUGGACUAUGUUGCUGUUGGAUCUGUGAAGAGUGCUGCUGCUAAAUGAUCAUCGCUUGAUGAUCAUUAUAUUUUCAUUAAUCUUUAUAUUGUGUGAAGUGUUUGGAUAUUAUUUUUCAAUUAAUUAGAAAUAUAUCGUACUAUAUAUAUUUUCAAAUA